rnacentral:rRNA from 1 species
GAAGCCAGUCGCAGAUACCAGCUGGCUGCAACUGUUUAUUAAAAACACAGCACUGUGCAAACACGAAAGUGGACGUAUACGGUGUGACGCCUGCCCGGUGCUGGAAGGUUAAUUGAUGGGGUUAUCCGUAAGGAGAAGCUCUUGAUCGAAGCCCCAGUAAACGGCGGCCGUAACUAUAACGGUCCUAAGGUAGCGAAAUUCCUUGUCGGGUAAGUUCCGACCUGCACGAAUGGCGUAAUGAUGGCCAGGCUGUCUCCACCCGAGACUCAGUGAAAUUGAACUCGCUGUGAAGAUGCAGUGUACCCGCGGCAAGACGGAAAGACCCCGUGAACCUUUACUAUAGCUUGACACUGAACAUUGAGCCUUGAUGUGUAGGAUAGGUGGGAGGCUUUGAAGUGUGGACGCCAGUCUGCAUGGAGCCAACCUUGAAAUACCACCCUUUAAUGUUUGAUGUUCUAACGUUGCCCCGUGAUCCGGGGUGCGGACAGUGUCUGGUGGGUAGUUUGACUGGGGCGGUCUCCUCCCAAAGCGUAACGGAGGAGCACGAAGGUUGGCUAAGCAUGGUCGGACAUCAUGCGGUUAGUGCAAAGGCAUAAGCCAGCUUGACUGCGAGAGUGACGGCUCGAGCAGGUACGAAAGUAGGUCUUAGUGAUCCGGUGGUUCUGAAUGGAAGGGCCAUCGCUCAACGGAUAAAAGGUACUCCGGGGAUAACAGGCUGAUACCGCCCAAGAGUUCAUAUCGACGGCGGUGUUUGGCACCUCGAUGUCGGCUCAUCACAUCCUGGGGCUGAAGUAGGUCCCAAGGGUAUGGCUGUUCGCCAUUUAAAGUGGUACGCGAGCUGGGUUUAGAACGUCGUGAGACAGUUCGGUCCCUAUCUGCCGUGGGCGUUGGAAGAUUGAAAGGGGCUGCUCCUAGUACGAGAGGACCGGAGUGGACGCACCGCUGGUGUUCGGGUUGUCAUGCCAAUGGCACUGCCCGGUAGCUAAGUGCGGAAGAGAUAACCGCUGAAAGCAUCUAAGCGGGAAACUUGCCUUGAGAUGAGUCUUCCCUGACUCUUUAAGGGUCCUAAAGGAACGUUUAAGACGAAGACGUUGAUAGGCUGGGUGUGUAAGCGUAGCGAUACGUUGAGCUAACCAGUACUAAUGAACCGUGAGGCUUAACCUGACAACACCGAAGGUGUUUUAG